rnacentral:lncRNA from 1 species
GAAAGCUUUUGAAGGAGCCGGUCUAAUUUAGUUUUCCUCUAAAAGCACUUUCUAUUCUUUUACAAAUCAUUCACAAACAAAAAUUAAGUUAACUUCUUUCAAAGGCGCUCUUACAAGAAACAAAAGUAAAAGUAAUGUCCAACAAGCAUUAUAUAGGACUUGUGUAGUUGAAAGUGGCAACUAUGAAAAAUAGUCCAAAUUUUGCAUUUUAAAAAUUUAAAAUUUGUAUAAUUGAUUAGUUGUAGGAAUUAUUAAUUAAAUAUUGUAUUUGGUAAUUUUAGAUGUAUGACAUAGAAAACGCAUUUUACUAAUGCCUAACCUGCCUAGACCAACUAGAGAGAUGUAAUCUAGCCCAUAAUCAACAUCCAGAAAUAAGGCAUACAAAAGUAGGGCAUCUCCCUAACGAAUAGUUUAGUGUGUCGCACAAUUUUUGAUGCUGAGAAUCCUCAAAAGAGGCAAUAGCAAAUCAUAUUUUUGUUACCACUUAUAUUGUAGGCUACCAUGACUAGUUAAAACCAAGGGUUUCUAGUUAACAUCUGAGGAGAAAAAUAGACGACAACAAAGAUUGAGGACGUACCAGUGGUACAAGAAUUUAUAAAUGUGUUUUCAGAAGACACCUACCUCGUACUUUACCAGAUAGAUAGAUCGAGUUCACAAUAGAUUUGGUUCCCGGAGUUGAACCAGUAUCCAAAUCUCCAUACAGAAUGGCUCCAAAGGAACUUUAGGAGUUAAAAUUUCAAUUACAAAAAUUGUUGGAUUAUGGCUUUAUUCGACAAAGUAUGUCUCCUUGGGGAACACCUGUAUUGUUCGUAAAGAAGAAAGAUAGAAAUAUGAGGUUGUGUAUUGACUAUCGGGAGUUGAACCGUUUGACCAUCAAGAAUGAAUAUCCUCUCCCGAGAAUCGAGGAUUUAUAUGACCAAUUGAAAGGGGUUAAGGUAUUUUCCAAGAUCGACUUACGAUCUGGAUACAAUCAGUUGAAGGUUAAGGCAAGUGAUAUACCCGAGACAGCUUUCUGAACUCGUUAUGGACAUCACGAGUUCACAGUUAUGCUGUUUGGGUUGACAAAUGCUCCGAUAAUGUUCAUGUAUUUAAUGAAUUGUGUAUUUCAUCAGUAUUUGGAUCAAUUUAUCAUAGUCUUCAUUGAUGACAUUUUGAUAUACUCCAAGAGUAAAGAUCAACACGAAGAGCAUCUUAGAAUGGCGUUAGAAAUACUGCGUAAGGAAAGGUUAUACGCCAAAUUUAAAAAGUGUGAAUUUUGGCUUGAGCAAGUUGGAUUCCUCGAUUAUGUAGUUACUGCCCAAGGAAUUGAGGUGGAUCCAAUAAAAGUGGAAGCAGUAACUAAUUGGAAUGCACCAACUAACGUGGGUGAAGUUCGAAGUUUUCUAGGAUUUGCCGGGUACUAUCGGAAAUUUAUAGAAGGAUUUUCCAAGAUAGCCGGACCAAUGACACAAUUGACAAGGAAAGGAGUAAAGUUUCAAUAGACAAAUAAGUGUGAGCAAAGCUUUCAGGAGCUAAAACAACGAUUGAUUUCAGCACUCGUGUUAGCCAUACCCACAGGUUCGGAAGGAUUUGUUAUAUAUAGUGAUGCAUCCAAAUAAGGUUUAGGAUGUGUACUGAUGCAGCACGGAAAAGUGAUUGCUUAUGCGUCAAGGCAAUUGAAGUAACAUGAACUGAACUACCCAACACAUGAUCUAGAACUUGCAACAGUAGUGCAUGCAUUAAAGAUAUGGUGACAUUACUUAUAUGGAGGGAAGUGCGACAUUUACACAGAUCAUAAGAGUCUCAAAUAUUUCUUCACACAGAAGGAAUUGAAUAUGAGAUAGAGGCGAUGGUUGGAGCUUGUAAAUGAUAAUGAUUGUACUAUUCAUUACCAUCAUGGUAAGGCUAAUGUUGUCGCCGAUGCUCUACGUAAGAAGUCAAUGGGACGGUUGACAUCAUUACCUACUACUCAGAUGGAGUUGAUCAAGGACUUGGAAAAUUUACGAAUCGAAAUGGUUGCCACACCAGAGCAAGUCACCACCCAUUUAGCAACAUUGGUAGUUCGACCUAAGUUUUGGAAGAGCUUACAAGUGGCCAUGGGAACGAAAUUAAAAUUCA